AGUUUAUAUUUUGUGACUGAGCAAAAAAAAAAUUAUUGACAUUGUAGUUUCAAAAAGAUUUUUUUAUGAGAUUUUUUAAGUUAUUUAUUUAUUAGCGUUAAAUAAAGAUUUGUUGUCAGCUUAUGAAAUUGCAAACCAAAUAAGAGGGCAAUCCAUUUGCAUGUAUAAUUAUUAAACUGUUGUUAUUUACUUUCAAAUUGUAAUUUUGAACAUUUCCACUCUUUACCGGUAAUGAAAAGGCCUAAUGAAUUUAGAUCAUCUUUUGCUCAAAAUGAAUUUUUUUUUAUUGUCUGCAUGAGCCUCAGUAAUUAAGGUCAAUGGUUGUACAUGUACUUAUAUUGUAUGUUUUGUGAGACAAAAGUUUUGUCAGACAGGGUUGUAGAGUUUAACAAGGUUGUUUUAUUUGACCUUCAAGCAUAGUCUGUUGUGAUACUGUGGCAAUUUGUGCAACCGGCUGACUUUUGGCCUUCUCCUUAGAGCUUUAAACAAUGUAAACGUACCACCGUGUAGAAUAGAAAUUAGCAGGAGUAAUGUCCCUUUCACAAUAAUGUCAUGUCGAUUGGCUCAGAUGUCAGUUAUAUUAAAUUUGUUAUGUUUACUUGUCUUUCAAGACAGAAUUUUUUUAUUCAGUGUGACAUUUCGCACAUGAGCAUGUCAGUCAUUGUAACAUGUAUUUCAUUAUUCUCCACAUUUUGUACACUUCUAGUAUUUUUAGAGGUCCUUAUAAAUGGUGAAGAUUGAAGAAACACAAAACAUUCCGUCCUUUUAUUUUGCUAUAAAUUAUUCUAGAGAUUCUGUUCAUAUACCUCAUAUUUCAUAAUUAUAUAACUGAUAAUUCAUGCGACUGUACUGUAUCCAAUUACCAGAUGCCUUUUAGUCCCCUGGUUGAUUGGGAAUAUCUCUUAAUCACAAUAUACAUAGAUACAAAACUCAUCAGAUGUUUUUUUUGUCCAAAUUUUUUCACAGUUUACCAGUACUGUUAUCUGGUAAUUUGCAUUUCUUAAAAAUUUUCAUUUUAUGUUGGUGCAAUGAAUCAAUUGUUUUUGGAGAGAGAACGAGAAAAAAAUCAAGAUACAUCAAAUGCGCUUGUAUUUUAUUUCCAUUGAAUUUGAAUAACAGUUGUUACAUUGUGUAUUGUGAAUUGAUAGUAAUAUAAAUAGGUAAUG
rnacentral:misc_RNA from 1 species